CCUACGGGAGGCAGCAGUGGGGAAUAUUGCACAAUGGGGGAAACCCUGAUGCAGCGACGCCGCGUGAGUUAAGAAGUAUUUCGGUAUGUAAAGCUCUGUCAGCAGGGAAGAAAAUGACGGUACCUGACCAAGAAGCCCCGGCUAACUACGUGCCAGCAGCCGCGGUAAUACGUAGGGGGCAAGCGUUAUCCGGAUUUACUGGGUGUAAAGGGAGCGUAGACGGCAGGGCAAGUCUGGAGUGAAAGGCGGGGGCCCAACCCCCGGACUGCUCUGGAAACUGCCAGGCUGGAGUGCAGGAGAGGUAAGUGGAAUUCCUAGUGUAGCGGUGAAAUGCGUAGAUAUUAGGAGGAACACCAGUGGCGAAGGCGGCUUACUGGACUGUAACUGACGUUGAGGCUCGAAAGCGUGGGGAGCAAACAGGAUUAGAUACCCGAGUAGUC
rnacentral:rRNA from 1 species